rnacentral:rRNA from 1 species
UACAGAGGGGGCGAGCGUUGUUCGGAAUUACUGGGCGUAAAGGGCGCGUAGGCGGCCUGUUAAGUCAUACGUGAAAUCCCCAGGCUCAACCUGGGAACUGCGUGUGAUACUGGCGGGCUUGAAUUCGGGAGAGGGAUGCGGAAUUCCCGGUGUAGUGGUGAAAUGCGUAGAUAUCGGGAGGAACACCAGUGGCGAAGGCGGCUUUCUGGCCUGUUCUUGACGCUGAGGCGCGAAAGCUAGGGGAGCAAACGGG